GCCACGUCAUCACCGGAAGGAGAGAGGGGGAUGAUGGGAGAGGUAGUUAUCAGAGAGGAGGGACGAUGGGAGAGGUAGUUAUCAGGGAGGGGGACGAUGGGAGAGGUAGUUAUCAGAGAGGGGGUGGAUGGGAGAGGUAGUUAUCAGGGAGGGGGAUGAUGGGAGAGGUAGUUAUCAUGGAGGGGGAGGAUGGGAGAGGUAGUUAUCAGAGAGGGGGAUGAUGGUGUUGUAGAAUUAUAGAAUUCUUGAAAUUAUCUAAGCUAAUGCUUUGGCAGGAAGAAAUGUGCUGAAUAAUAAAAUGUGUAUUUACUAAAAGAACCUUGAAACUAACAAUACUAACUACUCAAAAUGGCUGCCAAAGCACCCCUCCCAUCGAGUGAACACCUCGUGCUAACAAGAUGGCGCCUAUAUCUUGUGUCCACUCCCGUGUCAAGGAUGACAUCACCUCUUGAUAGGAGGGUAUCUAACUAACCACUUAACACCUGAACCAAUUAAUAAUGUUUAUUUGUUGUUAUCU